AGCAGCCGCGGUAAUUCCAGCUCCAAUAGCGUAUAUUAAAGUUGCUGCAGUUAAAAAGCUCGUAGUUGAAUUUCGGGACUAAUAUGUCGGUCGUGCCUCGGUACGUACUGGCUUAUUGGUUUCUCCUUUCUGAAGAACCAUGAUGUCAUUUAUUUGGUGUCGUGGGGAAUCAGGACUGUUACUUUGAAAAAAUUUAGAGUGUUUAAAGCAGGCUUACGCUUGAAUACAUUAGCAUGGAAUAAUGAAAUAGGACGUUUGAUUCUAUUUUGUUGGUUUCUAGGAUCGACGUAAUGAUUAAUAGGGAUAGUUGGGGGCAUUAGUAUUCAAUUGUCAGAGGUGAAAUUCUUGGAUUUAUUGAAGACUAACUACUGCGAAAGCAUUUGCCAAGGAUGUUUUCAUUAAUCAAGAACGAAAGUUAGGGGAUCGAAGACGAUCAGAUACCGUCGUAGUCUUAACCAUAAACUAUGCCGACUAGGGAUCGGAUGAUGUUAAUUUUUUAAUGACUCAUUCGGCGCCUUAC
rnacentral:rRNA from 1 species